CAGCCGCCGCGGUAAUACCGGCGGCCCGAGUGGCGGUCACUAUUAUUGGGCUUAAAACGUCCGUAGCCGGGUUGGGAAGUCCUCCGGGAAAUCUGGCCGCUUAACGGGCAGAAUUCCGGGAGAUACUGCCAGCCUAGGGACCGGGAGAGGCCGAGGGUAUUCCCGGAGUAGGGGUGAAAUCCUAUAAUCCCGGGAGGACCACCUGUGGCGAAGGCGCUCGGCUGGAACGGGUCCGACGGUGAGGGACGAAGGCCAGGGGAGCAAACCGGAUUAGAUACCCGGGUAGUCCUGGCUGUAAACGAUGCGGACUUUGUGUCGGACAAGCUAUGAGCUUGUCCGGUGCCGGAGGGAAACCGUUAAGUCCGCCGCCUGGGGAGUACGGCCGCAAGGCUGAAACUUAAAGGAAUUGGGGG
rnacentral:rRNA from 1 species